rnacentral:misc_RNA from 1 species
GAAAUGCGAUAAGUAGUGUGAAUUGCAGAAUUCCGUGAAUCAUCGAAUCUUUGAACGCACAUUGCGCCCCUCGGUAUUCCUUGGGGCAUGCCUGUUCGAGCGUCAUUUACACCCUCAAGCUCUGCUUGGUGUUGGGCGUCUGUCCCCGCCUCCGCGCGCGGACUCGCCUCAAAGCGAUUGGCGGCUGGUACCACGGCCUGGAGUGCAGCAGAAUUGCGCUCCUUGUCUCGGGGUCUGGCUCCCAUAAGCGAACUUUUUUCACUUGUUUGACCUCGAAUCAGGUAGGGAUACCCGCUGAACUUAA